rnacentral:lncRNA from 1 species
GUUUCCCUGUGUUGCCCACGCUGGUCUCAAACUCCUGGCCUCAAGUGAUCCACCUGCCUCAGCCUCCCAAAAUGCUUGGAUUACAGAUAUGUGCUGUCUCAGCCAGGCCAGACAGAUGGAGUCUCACUGGAGAUUGUACUGCAACCUCUGCCUCCUGGGUUCAAGUGAUUCUCCUGCCUCCGCUACCCAAGUAGCUGGGAUUACAGGUGCAUUGCCACCAUGCCUGUCUAAUUUUUCUAUUUUUGAAAGAGAUGGGGUUUCACCAUGUUGGCCAGGCUGGUCUUGGACUCCUGACCUCAAGUGAUCCACCUGCCUCAGCCUCCCAAAGUGCUGGGAUUACAGACAUGAGCCACUGCACCCAGCCAGGACACAGAGUUUUAAUAUUGGAUCCUUCAUGAUGGGAAGGGAGUGGGGGGAUUACAGAUUUUUAACAUUUUUCUUCAUACAUUUCUACAUUUCACUCAUAAUAAAAAAC